rnacentral:rRNA from 1 species
CCUACGGGGGGCUGCAGUGGGGAAUAUUGGACAAUGGGGGCAACCCUGAUCCAGCCAUGCCGCGUGUGUGAAGAAGGCCCUCGGGUUGUAAAGCACUUUCAGUGAGGAAGAACGCCUGGUGGUUAAUACCCAUCAGGAAAGACAUCACUCACAGAAGAAGCACCGGCUAACUCCGUGCCAGCAGCCGCGGUAAUACGGAGGGUGCGAGCGUUAAUCGGAAUUACUGGGCGUAAAGCGCGCGUAGGUGGCUUGAUAAGCCGGUUGUGAAAGCCCCGGGCUCAACCUGGGAACGGCAUCCGGAACUGUCAAGCUAGAGUGCAGGAGAGGAAGGUAGAAUUCCAGGUGUAGCGGUGAAAUGCGUAGAGAUCGGGAGGAAUACCAGUGGCGAAGGCGGCCUUCUGGACUGACACUGACACUGAGGUGCGAAAGCGUGGGUAGCAAACAGGAUUAGAUACCCUUGUAGUC